rnacentral:rRNA from 1 species
GAUCAUUAACGAAGCAUUAGAAAGGUUGUAGCUGCCUUGAAAGAGGAUGUGCACGCCUUUUAAAUCUUCUAUUUACCACCUGUGAACUCUUGCGGAGAUCGUGAUAACUCUCACAUGAAAAUUGUGGAUUAGUAGGCUUGCUAAGUGCUUGCUUACGAUUUCGCGGUCUCUUGCUUUUACACACACUUUAAAAGUUUUGAAUGUUGAUUUACGGAUUGUAAUGAUCUGUAAUAAUUUAAAUACAACUUUCAGCAACGGAUCUCUUGGCUCUCGCAUCGAUGAAGAACGCAGCGAAAUGCGAUAACUAAUGUGAAUUGCAGAAUUCAGUGAAUCAUCGAGUCUUUGAACGCACCUUGCACCCUUUGGUAUUCCGAAGGGUAUGCCUGUUUGAGUGUCAUUAAAUUCUCAAACUCACUAUGUUUCUUUUGAAACGUAUUGGGCUUUGGAUGUGGGGGUUGCAGGCUUUAACGAGUCGGCUCCUCUUAAAUGCAUUAGUGGCUUGUCGAUCCCCAUUAAAUGGUGUGAUAGUAAUAUCUGCAUCAUAACUAAUGGCUAGGUCAUGCAAUGGCAAUUUGAAGCUGCUUUCUAACGGUCUUCGGACAGUUCGAACCAUUUGACCUCAAAUCAGGUAGGACUACCCGCUGAACUUAAGCAUAUCAAUAAGCGGAGGAAAAGAAACUAACAAGGAUUCCCCUAGUAACUGCGAGUGAAGCGGGAAAAGCUCAAAUUUAAAAUCUGAUAGUCUUUGGCUGUCCGAGUUGUAAUUUAGAGAAGUGUUACCCGCGCUGGACCGUGUAUAAGUCUUCUGGAAUGGAGCAUCAUUGAGGGUGAGAAUCCCGUCUUUGACACGGACUACCAGGGCAUUGUGGUGCGCUCUCAACGAGUCGAGUUGUUUGGGAAUGCAGCUCAAAAUGGGUGGUAAAUUCCAUCUAAAGCUAAAUAUUGGCGAGAGACCGAUAGCGAACAAGUACCGUGAGGGAAAGAUGAAAAGAACUUUGGAAAGAGAGUUAAACAGUACGUGAAAUUGCUGAAAGGGAAACGCUUGAAGUUAGUCGCGUUAAUUAAAGAUCAACCUGGCUUGCCUGGUGUACUCUUUAAUUGAUGGGUCAACAUCAGUUUUGACCAUUGGAUAAGGAUGUAAGGAAUGUGGCUCUUUUAGGAGUGUUAUAGCCUUAUGUCGUAUACAGUGAUUGGGACUGAGGAUCUCAGCCACGCCUUACGGCCCCGGGUUUCGA